GUUGUCUUUAGAAUAAUUUUGAAGAAUGUUUUCGGGAAAUUUUAGUUAAUAUGUCAAAUCAAGGUGCAGCUAUAUUUAGGGGUGAUUGGGUUACAAUAUAUAAAAUAAACAAAUUAUUAAGUGAAAUAUAAUAUGAAGGUGGAUUUAAUUGUAAAAUAUUUUUAAUAAGAAUUUUUGAAGCAGUACUGAAAU
rnacentral:rRNA from 1 species